AGUGAACGCUGGCGGUAGGCCUAACACAUGCAAGUCGAACGGCAGCACAGUAAGAGCUUGCUCUUACGGGUGGCGAGUGGCGGACGGGUGAGGAAUACAUCGGAAUCUACUUUUUCGUGGGGGAUAACGUAGGGAAACUUACGCUAAUACCGCAUACGACCUACGGGUGAAAGCAGGGGAUCUUCGGACCUUGCGCGAUUGAAUGAGCGGAUGUCGGAUUAGCUAGUUGGCGGGGUAAAGGCCCACCAAGGCGACGAUCCGUAGCUGGUCUGAGAGGAUGAUCGGCCACACUGGAACUGAGACACGGUCCAGACUCCUACGGGAGGCAGCAGUGGGGAAUAUUGGACAAUGGGCGCAAGCCUGAUCCAGCCAUACCGCGUGGGUGAAGAAGGCCUUCGGGUUGUAAAGCCCUUUUGUUGGGAAAGAAAAGCAGCAGGUUAAUACCCCGCUGUUCUGACGGUACCCAAAGAAUAAGCACCGGCUAACUUCGUG
rnacentral:rRNA from 1 species